GACGAACGCUGGCGGCGUGCCUAAUACAUGCAAGUCGAACGCAGUGGGGACGGGUGAGUAACACGUGGGUAACCUCCCAUCAGAGGGGAUAACACUUGGAAACAGGUGCUAAACCGAUACUGAUGGAUGAACCCGCGGUGCAUUAGCUAGUUGGUGAGGUAACGGCUCACCAAGGCCACGAUGCAUAGCCGUCCUGGAGAGGGGAUCGGCCAAACGGGGGCUGGGGAACGGCCCAGACUCCGUCGGGAGGGAGCAGUAGGUGAUCUUCGGCAAUGGAAGGAAGUCUUGCCGAGCAACGGCGCGUGAGUGAAGAAGGGUUUCGGAUCGUAAAGCUCAGUUUUUUGAGAAGCGGUAACUAACCAGAAAGGGACGGCUAACUACGUGCCAGCAGCCGCGGUAAUAC
rnacentral:rRNA from 1 species